AUAAACAGCCAUACACUCUGAAUGUACCCUCUUGUCUGCUCUCAAAAGCUAAGCAGGGUUGGGCCUGGGUAGUACUUGGAUGCUGUACAAG
rnacentral:rRNA from 1 species